rnacentral:rRNA from 1 species
GGAGUUUGGACCGUGUCUCAGUUCCAAUGUGGGGGACCUUCCUCUCAGAACCCCUACUGAUCGUCGCCUUGGUAGGCCAUUACCUGCCAACUAGCUAAUCAGACGCGGGCCCAUCCUAUACCGUCGGAGCUUUUCACACCGUAUCAUGCGAUACUGUGCGCUUAUGCGGUAUUAGCAGUCGUUUCCAACUGUUAUCCCCCUGUAUAGGGCAGGUUACCCACGCGUUACUCACCCGUCCGCCACUCAGUCAUAAAAGCUUCCAUCCGAAAACUUCCGCUUAAAUGCUUCGUUCGACUUGCAUGUGUUAAGCACGCCGCCAGCGUUCAUC